rnacentral:lncRNA from 1 species
AUCAAUUAGAUCGGAUUUUCCUUGAGUUGUUCGAUCUGUCGUUACAGCCACCAGAAUUAUUGUCGUUACAACCACCGGAAUUGAUCAGGUGUUCUACUGCUUGUACAUGUCCGAGUCUAGCUACAAUCUGACGUGAACUAAAUUCAACGGAGAAAAUCAAUUUGGAGGUCGCUGACCGUACGUAUGUACGAGACAUACAGGUGUUUUUCUGCUUCACGCAUGAAUUGGUGCUCCUCGAAACUAUCACGUACUCCAUCAAUUUCUGCACCUCGAGGUUAUCAUGGUCUGUAUACUGAGACAAUCAGGAGCUGGAGGAAAACUUUAUCAGGACUUGUUCGAUUAAUCUACGGGAUUGGAGAGGAUUGAAGGUGAAAUUUGACUUAUAAGGGAUUUAAUCCCUUCCAAUCUCCUCCAAUUCUUAAAGAACCGAACAAGGCCUCAACGAGAUUUUGUUCAUCACGUUUCCAUGUGCUUCUCUCGUUCAGAGCCGGCCUCGCCUCAUCUUCUCACCAGACUCGCCGCACCACCUCCACGCGCGCAUGCACUCGCCGCCCCAGGCCUGCUCCGUCCGGGCCGCACCUCUGCACAUCCCCCGCGCGUGUUGUCACCUCUGUGCCUCGCGUUCACCUCGUUAUCGAUCGUCACCAGUUCGCCUCACCGGUUUUCCUCUGCCGCGCCCUGAGCAGCCGCUGCGCUCGGUGCCCCCGCAUCUUGGUCCACCGCGUUCGCCUCGCAUCACUCCGCCUCCGCUUCCACUCGUCGCGCGGCGCCGGCGACAGGCUCCGUUCACCUGCAGUUGAGCCGCCUACCAUAGAUGAGUCGCCGCCAUAACUCCCCAGUGCUGUUGUCGCGCUCCACCUUGCCCCACUCCAUCCGCCGAGCCGCCGCCGCGACUUCUGCAUCUGCCGCGGGCCAGCGCUGAUGAGUCGCCCCGGCCGAGCCACCGUCGCGUCGCAUCCGCCGCACGUGGCCUGGCUGCAUACCUCGCACAACUGCAGCGUUCGAGCCGCCCUCGCGCAAGGUGCAUCCACGCUGGCUCUGUUGCGCCAUUCUGUGACCCAUGCGUCGCUCCACCGUCCGCGUCGGCUGCCAACUCGCCAUGCGCCUCCGCCACUACAGCCUCACCUCAAGCUAGCCUCACCUCGCCUCGUAUUACUCCUGGUAGUAGACUAAUAGUACUACUUGGCCAAAGAGGAAUAGUGGACGGGAUGGGAUGAUAUCAGAUGUUACAGAUGCUAAUAUAGAGGAUUAAGAGCAUGUCCAACAGCCGCGCUAAAAUAGCGCCGCGCCUCAAAUUCGAUCUUUUUAGGCGCGCGCAACGCGGUGGGUGGCUUCAGCGGGCGCGCAAAAACAGCGCGCGCGGCAUAUGCAGUUCAGCGUGUUGGCCGAAACGCAAUCGCGCGCGGUGUAUUUGGGACGCACGCUUCCGCGCGCGAUAGACUCGAGCGCUCGCGCGAAACUCUCUCCUCUCCUCCUCCUACGCACCGCGAGCGCCGUCGCCGACGCCCUGCC